rnacentral:rRNA from 1 species
UACGGAGGAUCCAAGCGUUAUCCGGAAUUACUGGGCGUAAAGAGUUGCGUAGGUGGCAGGGUAAGUUGAUAUUGAAAGCGUGCGGCUCAACCGCAUACACAUUAUCAAAACUGCCCAGCUAGAGGACGAGAGAGGUAACUGGAAUUCCUAGUGUAGGAGUGAAAUCCGUAGAUAUUAGGAGGAACACCGAUGGCGUAGGCAGGUUACUGGCUCGUUCCUGACACUAAGGCACGAAAGCGUGGGGAGCAAACGGG